GCUCACCUGAAGCCCUGCAGUGCACCUUUCAGGAAUGAGGAAGAGCGAGAUGGAUACAUGCAUGCAAGUGGGAUCUGCAUCAGCUGGCUUCCGUUGUCCCCGCCUGCGAAGAAGAGCAAGGACGUGUUGAUGACAAUGAUGGCGAGACAAGGACAUCCACCUCGCAAGCUCCUUAGGAGGGUGAACUUUCCCGUUCAGCCCUCAUGAUGCUGCCAGCAACCUGGGAUGAUGAACGGAGAUGCAGGGACGUAGAGAAAAGCUCCACCCAAGACUACAGAACAAGAGCGGUAUCUUCAGGAUGAAAACUGCCAUCGGUAUUUGCGCCCAUAGAUCGACCAUCAAGAAAUCCUUGAAUCAAGUUGCUGUGCUUGCAUAUCUAGGUACAUGGCCUGAGGGAUUUACAGCUUCUCCUUGAGUUUGUAAAAUGCAUUUCCUAAGGUUUCCCACACUGUCUAGCAACUUCUGUCUCAUACACAACUUCAAAUGGGGUUCACCCAAGAGGUUGUUACAAAUGCAGGGUCUCGGGGCUCAUCCCAGACCUCUGGAUCAGCUCCUGUACAGUGGAACCUCGUUUCUCAAACGUCAU